GACGAACGCUGGCGGCGUGCCUAACACAUGCAAGUCGAGCGAAUAAAGUUCCUUCGGGAACGGAUUUAGCGGCGGACGGGUGAGUAACACGUGGGCAACCUGCCUCAUAGAGGGUAAUAGCCUUCCGCAAGGGAGAUUAAUACCGCAUAAGAUUGUAGUAUCGCAUGGGACAGCAAUUAAAGGCGCAAUCCGCUGUGAGGUGGGCCCGCGGCGCAUUAGCUGGUUGGAUGGGUAACGGCUCACCAAGGCGGCGAUGCGUAGCCGAGAUGAGAGGGUGGUCGGCCACAUUGGGACAGAGACACGGCCCAGACUCCUACGGAAGGCAGCAGUGGGGAAGAUUGCACAAUGGGGAAACCCUGAUGCAGCUACGCCGCGUGAGUGAUGACGGCCUUCGGGUUGUAAAGCUCUGUCUUCAGGGACGAUAAUGACGGUACCUGAGGAGGAAGCCACGGCUAACUACGUGCCAGCAGCCGCAGUAA
rnacentral:rRNA from 1 species